AGAACGAACGCUGGCGGCGUGCUUAACACAUGCAAGUCGAACGUGAUCCAGAGCUUGCUCUGGUGAAAGUGGCGCACGGGUGAGUAACGCGUGGAUAACCUGCCCUGGUAUCCGGGAUAACACUUCGAAAGGGGUGCUAAUACCGGAUAAGCCCACGGGCUCUUCGGAGCUUGCGGGAAAAGGUGGCCUCUGAAUAUGCUACUGUAUCAGGAUGGGUCCGCGUACCAUUAGCUAGUUGGUGGUGUAAUGGACCACCAAGGCGACGAUGGUUAGCUGGUCUGAGAGGAUGAUCAGCCACACUGGGACUGAGACACGGUCCAGACUCCUACGGGAGGCAGCAGUGGGGAAUUUUGCGCAAUGGGGGAAACCCUGACGCAGCAACGCCGCGUGAGUGAUGAAGGCCUUCGGGUCGUAAAGCUCUGUCAGUGGGGAAGAAGUGAUAGGGUGCUAAUACCACCCUAUCUUGACGGUACCCACAAAGGAAGCACCGGCUAACUCCGUGCCAGCAGCCGCGGUAAUACGGAGGGUGCAAGCGUUGUUCGGAUUUAUUGGGCGUAAAGCGCGUGUAGGCGGUUUCUUAAGCCUGAUGUGAAAGCCCCGGGCUCAACCCGGGAAGUGCAUUGGAUACUGGGAGACUUGAAUACGGGAGAGGGUAGUGGAAUUCCUAGUGUAGGAGUGAAAUCCGUAGAUAUUAGGAGGAACACCGGUGGCGAAGGCGGCUACCUGGACCGAUAUUGACGCUGAGACGCGAAAGCGUGGGGAGCAAACAGGAUUAGAUACCCUGGUAGUCCACGCCGUAAACGAUGAGAACUAGGUGUUGCGGGUAUUGACCCCUGCAGUGCCGCAGCUAACGCAUUAAGUUCUCCGCCUGGGAAGUACGGUCGCAAGACUAAACUUAAAGG
rnacentral:rRNA from 1 species